rnacentral:rRNA from 1 species
CUGGAAACGGUGGCUAAUACCGCAUAAGUGGUGAUGAUGGGAAUCGUUAUCACAAAGGUUUACUGCUUUGAGAGGGGCCUACGGCCGAUUAGCUAGUUGGUGAGGUAAUGGCUCACCAAGGCGAUGAUCGGUAGCUGGUCUGAGAGGACGAUCAGCCACACGGGAACUGAGACACGGUCCCGACUCCUACGGGGGGCAGCAGUGAGGAAUAUUCGGCAAUGGGGGCAACCCUGACCGAGCAACGCCGCGUGGAGGAUGACGGUUUUUGGAUUGUAAACUCCUUUUCUCAGGGAAGAGUGAGGACGGUACCUGAGGAAUAAGUCACGGCUAACUACGUGCCAGCAGCCGCGGUAAUACGUAGGUGGCAAGCGUUAUCCGGAAUUACUGGGCGUAAAGCGCACGCAGGUGGUUUGCUAAGAUUGACGUGAAAGCGCCUGGCUUAACUGGGCGAGGUCGUUGAUGACUGGUAGACUUGAGGCG